AUGUAGUGUUUUACAAACAGUGACUGCAUUUAACAACACUUCAGUUAGAUCAUCUCCAUCGAGGGAAAAGAGCAGGAGGAGAGUGGGAAUAACUAAUUCAACCUCAUAGCUCAUAUCAGUGUCCUCUGACUGAAGACUUCACAGUAGUGUAUCUGAAUGGAUUUUGGAGGGAGCAGUAAAACUGACAGCUGAUAAACCACAUAUAUUACCACAGUGGUGAUUUGCCCACAUGCCUUCUAGGUCCUCAGGCCUGUUAGCAAAUCUGUGGGAGAACAGUAUUACCAACAAUAGAGG